UAAGUUAUCAGGGUCUCUACGAGCGACA
rnacentral:sRNA from 1 species